GCAACAAGGUUCAGUCUUAUGUUUGCAGAGCUAAAUCUGAGGAUGCAUCACAUGUCAUCUUAUGUAAAUAGAAUGUAUAGAAUCAUUUUGUAAAACUUGGCUCCUUGACGUUUUGUUAAUACAUUUAUAUGUGUGUAUCUCUCUGUGUAUACCGUGCUAACACAGGCCAGGCAUCUCUAGUAUUUGUAGAAGUACUUCCGAUUCAAAACAAUUUCAAGCUCCGCCGGUUCAACAGCUCACACUCACACUCACGAAGGAAGUUGGCCAAUUCCGUUAAUGACGAUGGAUUCUCCGGCAAGUACAUUCAAUCCGAACAAGCGUCUCAAAGAAGAGUUUGUCAGCAAUUUAAAAGGAGCUUCAAUGAUGGAAUUAUUCCUUCUCAUUACUACUCUCUCUAUGCUUCUCUUUCUACGUUCAGUGUAUUCCAGUACCAAAAAAGGUCCUAAUUCAGCAGAGGCCUUGUCGAAGAAAGAUGAUGUCAUUAAAGCAGUUGUUUGUAAGAAGAACAUGGGAUCAUAUCUUGCUGCAGCGACUCUUGAUGUCCUAUGCAUUGUAUUUCCAGCCAUUUUAUGUGUAACUAUUCUGGCGGAUUGGACGUAUAUUAAUGCAGUUGUGAUGACCUUAUUGGUGGUAUUCUUUAUUUUACCUAGAAGAUCUGGAUUUUCCGUUUCUCAAGAAGAGGGGGCCCGAUCUCUUAGGACAAAUAUAUCUGCAUACAGGGUUGCUAUGAACUUUUUGACAUGCGUAUGUAUUCUGGCUGUUGACUUCAAGAUAUUUCCUAGAAGAUAUGCCAAAACAGAGACCUAUGGUACUGGCUUGAUGGACAUUGGAGUAGGUUCGUUUAUUGUGGCAAAUGCAUUGGUUUCACGACAAGCACGUGGAAUUGCAAAAAUGAAUUUGAGAAAUGCAAUUUCUUCAACUUGUCCACUCAUAGUUUUGGGGUUUGCUCGAAUCUUUUUCACUUCGAGUGUUGAUUAUCAGGUUCACGUUGGUGAAUAUGGCGUGCACUGGAAUUUCUUUUUCACUCUUGCUGCUGUAGCAAUUUUGACGUCGAUGAUUAAUCUUCCACCGAGUUAUUGUGGAAUUCUGGGGUGGUUUAUUCUAGUAGUAUAUGAGGUCUCCCUGUUGCUUGGGCUAAAUGAAUAUCUUAUUUCAAAUGAAAGAGGACAUGACAUCAUCAGUCAAAACAAAGAAGGGAUUUUUAGCAUUUUUGGUUACUGGGGGAUGUACCUUGUUUGUGUCCAACUUGGCAACUAUCUUUUCUUUGGAAAACCUGGAGAUGCUGUGUUGAGGACAAACAAUUGGGCAAGGAUUAGAGUCUGGAUUAUCUGUCUUCUAUUCUGGUUGUUGACCGUUUUCCUAGACUGGCAUGUUGAGAGGGUUUCUCGCAGAAUGUGCAACCUGGCUUAUGUAACUAUUGUAUUGGCUAUGAACCUUCAGGUAAGAUUCAGAUAAAUUGGCAUGGUUCUGAAAUUUCUCUUCUGCUGUGUGUUUCAAGAGUGUUCUGAGCUGUUUUCUUGCACUCUUUCUUCAAGUCUUGUACUCUUUUAGAAUGUGGAAUUGUCUCGUCCCUGUGGCUCCUUUUGUUUGCUUAACUGGUCGUAGCUACUCAUUCCAUCUAUCCAGUGAUUUCUCUUCCAAACAGUUCUACUCUUGUGAAUGGAGUUUGCACCCGACGUACAUGUUAGUCCUAUUGGAUGGAUGCACUUUUGUCUCUUUAAGUUAAUGGGUUUUCGGGCAUUAUCUCUCAUCAGUUAUUUCAAGAGUGAGAGGAAAGUUGGAAAAACUUAGGCCAAGUGUAUUAAGAAUGAUUUCCGACAACUUUUGACAGUAGAUAAUGAGACUAAAGACAGAUGAGAGGUUAUUUCAGUCAAUUGCUCAAAACAAAUUACAAGACGACUUGGUAGAUAUUCAUACAUGUGCGACAGAUAGAAACCUUAGCUGAAUCCAUAAAUAAACCUACGUUGAAGUAAAGGAUAUGAUGAGGGUAGUCUAGUUUUGAAGUGCCUUGGCGAGGUUAAGUGAUGGCUAACCAAGCUAUUCAAUGUUAUAUUAAGGAGUGAAAGAGACCAAAUGAGUGGAAAAGGGUACCUUGGUUCCAGUAUGUAAGAACAAAGGAGUUGAAAGAUGUUUGAACUAUUGUCAUAUUUAACUUAUAUACUAUAUAUAUGUAUUUUAAAUUGAACUUAUAAUAAUAUAACAUUUGGAAAAUAGUGAUGGAGCGUAGAACAGGGAUAUCAAGCGUGGCUGAAUGGGUUCAUGCUUGGUAGUUUUGUAACAGCAGAUUUUUUGUUUUUUAACAUUUGUAGAAAUUCUUAGAGAAACCAUAUGGUAGUGCCAGUAAAGUCCUUAGUUGGUAGUUUGAAAAUACAGAAUCCAUAUCAAAUAUAAAUACGAUAAAGGAUACCUAUGAAGGACCAGUUACAAGUGUGAGGACAAUGGGAGGAGAUACACAGAGAUUUUCGUUGAAUUCAGUGCCUAACAAAGUGAAAGAAAAUUUUACAGAACGGUUGUGGGAACAAUGAUGUUAUACUGGAGUGAGUGUAGUGUCUCAAUAAUGAAAUAUAUUCAGAAGAUGAAUGUUGUAGAAAUGUACAAGCUAAUAUGGAUAUGCAGUUGAACAAGAUUGGACAAAGCUUGAAAUGAUUACUUUGGACUGAGGAUUCAAGUUGCACAAAAAGGAUAAAAUGAGAAAAUAUCAGUGAAGAUGGUUUGACCAUGUUGAAUUGGUUUGUUGUAGGUGUGAUGUUAUGAUGACGGAAGGCGCUAAAAGAGGAUAAAGUAGACACAGAAUCAGAUUGGAGGUUAUCUAAAACGACCUAUGAUUUAUGGUAACCAAUGCAAAUUUAGCUAAGAAUAGGAGAUAAAGGAAGUAAAGGAUCCAUAAAGACAAUGCCAGCUAGUUCGCAUUAAGGUUUAGUUACUGGUUUUACUGUUCAAUUAAAUCUGGUGCUUGUCAGUAGUACUUUUAGUUUUGUAGAAACUUGUAUGUCAGCAUCUUGCUAUUUUUUGAAACCAAUCAGUAUCCCCACAGAGGUAGGGGUAAGGUCUGCCAUCUGUGUACAUCCUACCUUUACGGACCCCACUUGUGGAGAUAACACUGGGUAUAUUGUUGUUGUUGUUUGUAGAACUUGUAUGUGACUCUGGGAAUAAGUGUAAGAUGUAGAGAACUUCUAGUUUUAGAGAAUUGCCAGUACAAAAAGAAAUUGAUAUAGCACCCAAGGGUGUGGCUUAGUGGUUCAAUGAAGUUGGGUUGAGCACCAUGAGAUCUCAGGUUCAAUUCCCAACACCCAACAGAGACAAACACUAGAUGAUUUCUUCCCAUCUGUUCUAGCCUUGGUGGACAGAGGUACCUGGUACCUGUUGCUGGUGGGAGGUGGCCCGGACACCACGGUUAUCAAAAAAAAAAUUGAUACAAAUAGAGAGGAAUAUAUGUAGAUCAUAUAUUUGACCCCAAAUAGUUUGGAAGUGAAAGAUAGUUGUUUGAUGAUCGUUUACCACUCAUUUCAGAGCAUGAUAAGUCCAAUCUUUCAGUGGAGAUAUAAGAAGUAACAAGAGUUAGAGAUGGAAAAACAGAAGUAGAUUGAGUCACCAGAAAUUAAUGACAUUGAGCACAAGGAGUUCCAUUACUGUUUUCUAAAUAAGAUGAAUGAAGCUGCGACUUGUAAGGAAAAUCUCUAACUUUAAAUCUCUCUUAACAAUUUAAUUUGUUUGGGAUCAUCCGCACAUCUUAGUGAAAGGAUACCACAGAGAAUGGAUGUCAUUGAGCUAAGGAUUAGUGGUUGGCUGGUAACUUCUUGUCUUUUGGAAAGCUAAUCCCUACUUUUUUUUGCGGUUUGACCUAUUUCUGGGUGAAGUACGAUGCUCAUAAUUUUUCUUGUGAAGAUUCAACUUAUUAUACACUCACACAAGCUGAGCAUUGCUUUUUCAAAGUGUUGCGAACCCAUUUCAAAAAGUUUGGUCAAAGAUAGAUUCAUUUCACUCCUGGAAGGGAACAACACCGGACUUCUGGAUAGAAGAAGACUUUACUAGUUAGCAAUUAUUUCUGUUUUUCUGGAAGAACUUUGGGACUACUUGUGAAUUUCUCUUGAAUGUAAUGCUGCAUAAAGUCUGCUGAUGUGAUCCAUAUAAUGUAGGAUUUUUUUUUUAUUUAGUCAUGACUAA